AUUGAACGCUGGCGGCAGGCCUAACACAUGCAAGUCGAGCGGAUGGAGGGAGCUUGCUCCUGGAUUCAGCGGCGGACGGGUGAGUAAUGCCUAGGAAUCUGCCUGGUAGUUGGGGAUAACGUCCGGAAACGGGCGCUAAUACCGCAUACGUCCUGAGGGAGAAAGUGGGGGAUCUUCGGACCUCACGCUAUCAGAUGAGCCUAGGUCGGAUUAGCUAGUUGGUUGGGUAAAGGCCUACCAAGGCGACGAUCCGUAACUGGUCUGAGAGGAUGAUCAGUCACACUGGAACUGAGACACGGUCCAGACUCCUACGGGAGGCAGCAGUGGGGAAUAUUGGACAAUGGGCGAAAGCCUGAUCCAGCAAUGCCGCGUGUGUGAAGAAGGUCUUCGGAUUGUAAAGCACUUUAAGUUGGGAGGAAGGGCAGUAAGUUAAUACCUUGCUGUUUUGACGUUACCAACAGAAUAAGCACCGGCUAACUUCGUG
rnacentral:rRNA from 1 species